AACGAACGCUGGCGGCAUGCCUAACACAUGCAAGUCGAACGAGACCUUCGGGUCUAGUGGCGCACGGGUGCGUAACGCGUGGGAACCUGCCCUUAGGUUCGGAAUAACUCCCCGAAAGGGGUGCUAAUACCGGAUAAUGUCUUCGGACCAAAGAUUUAUCGCCUUUGGAUGGGCCCGCGUUGGAUUAGCUAGUUGGUAGGGUAAAAGCCUACCAAGGCGACGAUCCAUAGCUGGUCUGAGAGGAUGAUCAGCCACACUGGGACUGAGACACGGCCCAGACUCCUACGGGAGGCAGCAGUGGGGAAUAUUGGACAAUGGGCGAAAGCCUGAUCCAGCAAUGCCGCGUGAGUGAUGAAGGCCUUAGGGUUGUAAAGCUCUUUUACCCGGGAAGAUAAUGACAGUACCGGGAGAAUAAGCGCCGGCUAACUCCGUG
rnacentral:rRNA from 1 species